rnacentral:rRNA from 1 species
AGAGUUUGAUCCUGGCUCAGGACGAACGCUGACGGUGUGCUUUAGGCAUGCAAGUCGAACGAGAAAGCCCUUCGGGGUGAGUAAAGUGGCGCACGGGUGCGUAACGCGUAUGCAACCUACCUUAAACUGGGGGAUAGCCUUCCGAAAGGGAGAUUAAUACCGCAUAAUACUAUUUGAUGGCAUCUGAAGAUAGUUAAAGAUUUAUUGGUUUAAGAUGGGCAUGCGUGCCAUUAGCUAGUUGGUAGUGUAACGGACUACCAAGGCUACGAUGGCUAGGGGUUCUGAGAGGAUGAUCCCCCACACUGGUACUGAGAUACGGACCAGACUCCUACGGGAGGCAGCAGUAGGGAAUAUUGGGCAAUGGACGAAAGUCUGACCCAGCCAUGCCGCGUGCAGGAAGAAGGCCUUCUGGGUUGUAAACUGCUUUUAUCUAAGAAGAAAAAACUCUUGCGAGAGGAACUGACGGUACUAGAUGAAUAAGCACCGGCUAACUCCGUGCCAGCAGCCGCGGUAAUACGGAGGGUGCAAGCGUUGUCCGGAUUUAUUGGGUUUAAAGGGUGCGUAGGCGGCCCGAUAAGUCAGUGGUGAAAGCCUCCAGCUCAACUGGAGAACUGCCAUUGAUACUGUCGGGCUUGAGUACAGACGAGGUUGGCGGAAUUGAUUGUGUAGCGGUGAAAUGCAUAGAUACAAUCAAGAACACCGAUUGCGUAGGCAGCUAACUAGGCUGUAACUGACGCUGAGGCACGAAAGCGUGGGGAGCGAACAGGAUUAGAUACCCUAGUAGUCC